rnacentral:lncRNA from 1 species
UGGUAAUGAGCUUGUAUUAUGACUCAAUAGCAUCACUUUAUCACUUUAACACAGAUGGAGGCCUAAAUAACCAUAGGGCAAUGGUUCUUCUUAGAUGCAGAAGGACACAUUUAUAUAAUCUUAGGGACCCCAUCUCUGAGGUCACUCAUAAUUUAUAUUAAUUCAUUGUUAUUGCCAUUGCCCCAAGAAUAGAUAAGGAUAAGACAUCCUGUAGUACAGGUAGCAGAGAUAUAAACUAUUCUUAUUCUUGUGUCUUGUCUAUAGGAAGGGAGUGUAUCCUGGUGUAUGACAGCAUAUAGUAGAGACCAUUGUCAAUUAGGGCCUGUGAACUGAGACAGGGUGACUGGCUAAGUCCACAACCCAUUAGAAACCCAGAAAUAAUCAAAUCAUGAGGGAUCAUGGAAAGGAAGCUGAAUUUGCCAAGUUUUGCCACGUGGGCAUUGCAUGCCUAUGUGAUUAACCACCAAUAAAAACCUGGGACAUCAAAGAAU